rnacentral:rRNA from 1 species
UUUAUGGAGAGUUUGAUCCUGGCUCAGGAUGAACGCUGGCGGCGUGCCUAAUACAUGCAAGUCGAGCGAACAGACGAGGAGCUUGCUCCUUUGACGUUAGCGGCGGACGGGUGAGUAACACGUGGGUAACCUACCUAUAAGACUGGGAUAACUUCGGGAAACCGGAGCUAAUACCGGAUAAUAUUUCGAACCGCAUGGUUCGAUAGUGAAAGAUGG